rnacentral:rRNA from 1 species
GAGGUAACGGCUCACCAAGGCGACGACGGGUAGCCGGCCUGAGAGGGCGACCGGCCACACUGGGACUGAGACACGGCCCAGACUCCUACGGGAGGCAGCAGUGGGGAAUAUUGCACAAUGGGCGCAAGCCUGACGCAGCGACGCCGCGUGGGGGAUGACGGCCUUCGGGUUGUAAACCUCUUUCAGCAGGGACGAAGCGCAAGUGACGGUACCUGCAGAAGAAGCACCAGCCAACUACGUGCCAGCAGCCGCGGUAAUACGUAGGGCGCGAGCGUUGUCCGGAAUUAUUGGGCGUAAAGGGCUCGUAGGUGGUUUGUCGCGUCGUCUGUGAAAUUCCGGGGCUUAACUCCGGGCGUGCAGGCGAUACGGGCAUAACUUGAGUACUGUAGGGGUAACUGGAAUUCCUGGUGUAGCGGUGAAAUGCGCAGAUAUCAGGAGGAACACCGGUGGCGAAGGCGGGUCUCUGGGCCGAUACUGACGCUGAGGAGCGAAAGCGUGGGGAGCGAACAGGAUUAGAUACCCUGGUAGUCCACGCCGUAAACGGUGGGCA